GAUAAUAUAUUAUACUAGCGUAUAAAAUAAUCUAACCUCAGUAGAUAGAUACACUUCGACCAAAAUAAAUAUUAUGUUUUUGAUCCUUUUCUCUGUGUGUAUAGAUAGAGGAUUGGUUACACUCUUGUGCGUCGUUUUCAAGUAUCAAAUAUCAUAAUAUAUAAUAUAUAAUACGUAAGUACGCGUAAUAAUUGAAAAAAAGAAUAUGAAAGAAAACAGUCUGUUCUGUCCGUCGAGCGUGGCUUUAUAAUGUCUUAUCCAUUUAAAUAAUAUUAUUGUGCAUGCGUUGAAUAGAUUGCCAUGUCUAUUUUUAGGUUACCGGACAUAUAAUUCGCUUAUGAUGGCGGUGUGAGGACGGAUUUAAAAGGGGGAAAUAAAAGGAAAUAGGAUCAUAAACAGAAAGCUUUUAAUGAAUGUAUUGCUUUCGCACUUUUGUUGUAACAAUUAUAGACCUAAAUUUAUUAGUACUUUAUUUAGUGCUUUGGCCAAAAAUUAGUCAAACAACGCCUGUCUAUAGCGAAUAGGGUAAUCCGGGAAGAACAAAAUAUAAAAUAUAUUUAUCAGUAUUUUUUCCUCCAUGAAAAGCAUUGUUUUAUCAUAGAUAAUACUGGUUAUAAUAAUUGAAUACGUACUCUAUGUGAUAUUAAUUAGGUAUGGUAAAUCAAUACUUUUCAUGGGAAAAAAAAUCAUGAACAAUUUCUUUUUUUUCUUCCUGGGUAAUUUUUGAUUGUCAAUUAUCAUAUUGAGUCCGAUUUUUCUCAAGGUCAAGUUUGCUAUAGUAUUAAUUGAUUAAUGGUUUUGACCGAGUGACCCAGAAUAAUUUUUAAAAAAACACCAAAAAAGGUUCAGUAUUAAAACAUGAAGAUUCCCGCACGGUUUAGACAUGAAUGGAACUUAAAGUCCCGCUGUACUUGGGAAAAAUCGUACAAUUUGAUAUA